rnacentral:rRNA from 1 species
UACGAAGGGGGCUAGCGUUGUUCGGAAUUACUGGGCGUAAAGCGCACGUAGGCGGAUUGUUAAGUCGGGGGUGAAAUCCCAGGGCUCAACCCUGGAACUGCCUCCGAUACUGGCAAUCUGGAGUCCGGGAGAGGUGAGUGGAAUUCCGAGUGUAGAGGUGAAAUUCGUAGAUAUUCGGAAGAACACCAGUGGCGAAGGCGGCUCACUGGCCCGGAACUGACGCUGAGGUGCGAAAGCGUGGGGAGCAAACAGG